UACGUAGGCAGCGAGCGUUGUUCGGAAUUACUGGGCGUAAAGAGUGUGUAGGCGGUGCUCUAAGUUCGGUGUGAAAUCUCCCGCUUAACUGGGAGGGUGCGCCGGAAACUGGAGUGCUCGAACGUGGGAGAGGAAAGCGGAAUUCCUGGUGUAGCGGUGAAAUGCGUAGAUAUCAGGAGGGAACACCUGCGGUGUAGACGGCUUUCUGGACCAUUGUUGACGCUGAGACACGAAAGCGUGGGUAGCAAACAGG
rnacentral:rRNA from 1 species